rnacentral:rRNA from 1 species
GUAACUGACGCUAAAGCUCGAAAAGUGCGGGUAUCGAACAGGAUUAGAUACCCUGGUAGUCCGCACGGUAAACGAUGGAUGCCCGCUGUUUGCGAUAUAUUGUAAGCGGCCAAGCGAAAGCGUUAAGCAUCCCACCUGGGGAGUACGCCGGCAACGGUGAAACUCAAAGGAAUUGACGGGGGCCCGCACAAGCGGAGGAACAUGUGGUUUAAUUCGAUGAUACGCGAGGAACCUUACCCGGGCUUGAACUGCAGCAGGAGGAUACAGAGAUGUUGACGCCCUUCGGGGCUGCUGUGGAGGUGCUGCAUGGUUGUCGUCAGCUCGUGCCGUGAGGUGUCGGCUUAAGUGCCAUAACGAGCGCAACCCCUUUCGUCAGUUGCCAUCAGGUUAUGCUGGGCACUCUGGCGACACUGCCACCGUAAGGUGUGAGGAAGGUGGGGAUGACGUCAAAUCAGCACGGCCCUUACGUCCGGGGCUACACACGUGUUACAAUGGGUGGUACAGAGAGUCGGUCGCAGGCAAUUGCGGUCUAAUCAUGAAAGCCAUCCUCAGUUCGGAUUGGGGUCUGCAACCCGACCCCAUGAAGCUGGAUUCGCUAGU